rnacentral:rRNA from 1 species
GAUGAACGCUGGCGGCGUGCCUAAUACAUGCAAGUCGAGCGAACAGACGAGGAGCUUGCUCCUCUGACGUUAGCGGCGGACGGGUGAGUAACACGUGGAUAACCUACCUAUAAGACUGGGAUAACUUCGGGAAACCGGAGCUAAUACCGGAUAAUAUAUUGAACCGCAUGGUUCAAUAGUGAAAGACGGUUUUGCUGUCACUUAUAGAUGGAUCCGCGCCGCAUUAGCUAGUUGGUAAGGUAACGGCUUACCAAGGCAACGAUGCGUAGCCGACCUGAGAGGGUGAUCGGCCACACGGGAACUGAGACACGGUCCAGACUCCUACGGGAGGCAGCAGUAGGGAAUCUUCCGCAAUGGGCGAAAGCCUGACGGAGCAACGCCGCGUGAGUGAUGAAGGUCUUCGGAUCGUAAAACUCUGUUAUUAGGGAAGAACAAAUGUGUAAGUAACUAUGCACGUCUUGACGGUGCCUAAUCAGAAAGCCACGGCUAACUACGUG